rnacentral:rRNA from 1 species
UAACUCCGUGCCAGCAGCCGCGGUAAUACGGAGGAUCCGAGCGUUAUCCGGAUUUAUUGGGUUUAAAGGGAGCGUAGGUGGACAGUUAAGUCAGUUGUGAAAGUUUGCGGCUCAACCGUAAAAUUGCAGUUGAUACUGGCUGUCUUGAGUACAGUAGAGGUGGGCGGAAUUCGUGGUGUAGCGGUGAAAUGCUUAGAUAUCACGAAGAACUCCGAUUGCGAAGGCAGCUCACUGGACUGCAACUGACACUGAUGCUCGAAAGUGUGGGUAUCAAACAGGAUUAGAUACCCUGGUAGUCCACACAGUAAACGAUGAAUACUCGCUGUUUGCGAUAUACAGUAAGCGGCCAAGCGAAAGCAUUAAGUAUUCCACCUGGGGAGUACGCCGGCAACGGUGAAACUCAAAGGAAUUGACGGGGGCCCGCACAAGCGGAGGAACAUGUGGUUUAAUUCGAUGAUACGCGAGGAACCUUACCCGGGCUUAAAUUGCAUUUGAAUAUAUUGGAAACAGUAUAGUCGUAAGACAAAUGUGAAGGUGCUGCAUGGUUGUCGUCAGCUCGUGCCGUGAGGUGUCGGCUUAAGUGCCAUAACGAGCGCAACCCUUAUCUUUAGUUACUAACAGGUCAUGCUGAGGACUCUAGAGAGACUGCCGUCGUAAGAUGUGAGGAAGGUGGGGAUGACGUCAAAUCAGCACGGCCCUUACGUCCGGGGCUACACACGUGUUACAAUGGGGGGUACAGAAGGCAGCUACCUGGUGACAGGAUGCUAAUCCCAAAAGCCUCUCUCAGUUCGGAUCGAAGUCUGCAACCCGACUUCGUGAAGCUGGAUUCGCUAGUAAUCGCGCAUCAGCCAUGGCGCGGUGAAUACGUUCCCGGGCCUUGUACACACCGCCCGUCAAGCCAUGAAAGCCGGGGGUACCUGAAGUACGUAACCGCAAGGAGCGUCCUAGGGUAAAACUGGUAAUUGGGGCUAAGUCGUAACAAGGUAGCCGUACCGGAAGGUGCGGCUGGAACACCUCCUUU